rnacentral:rRNA from 1 species
UACGUAGGGUGCAAGCGUUAUCCGGAAUUAUUGGGCGUAAAGAGCUCGUAGGCGGUUUGUCGCGUCUGCUGUGAAAACUGGAGGCUCAACCUCCAGCCUGCAGUGGGUACGGGCAAACUAGAGUGCGGUAGGGGAGAUUGGAAUUCCUGGUGUAGCGGUGGAAUGCGCAGAUAUCAGGAGGAACACCGGUGGCGAAGGCGGUUCUCUGGGCCUGUACUGACGCUGAGGAGCGAAAGCGUGGGGAGCGAACAGG